ACUGUCAUACAUACCAUGCUGAAAACACCGGUUCUCGUCCGAUCUCCGAAGUUAAGCAGCAUUGGGUUUGGGAAUCCCAGAUUCAGUU
rnacentral:rRNA from 1 species